rnacentral:rRNA from 1 species
GAUGAACGCUGGCGGCGUGCCUAAUACAUGCAAGUCGAGCGAACGGACGAGAAGCUUGCUUUUCUGAUGUUAGCGGCGGACGGGUGAGUAACACGUGGAUAACCUACCUAUAAGACUGGGAUAACUUCGGGAAACCGGAGCUAAUACCGGAUAAUAUUUUGAACCGCAUGGUUCAAAAGUGAAAGACGGUCUUGCUGUCACUUAUAGAUGGAUCCGCGCUGCAUUAGCUAGUUGGUAAGGUAACGGCUUACCAAGGCAACGAUGCAUAGCCGACCUGAGAGGGUGAUCGGCCACACUGGAACUGAGACACGGUCCAGACUCCUACGGGAGGCAGCAGUAGGGAAUCUUCCGCAAUGGGCGAAAGCCUGACGGAGCAACGCCGCGUGAGUGAUGAAGGUCUUCGGAUCGUAAAACUCUGUUAUUAGGGAAGAACAUAUGUGUAAGUAACUGCGCACAUCUUGACGGUACCUAACCAGAGAGCCACGGCUAACUACGUG